UGCUGGGCCUUGGAAGACAGCCA
rnacentral:piRNA from 1 species